GAUGAACGCUGGCGGCGUGCCUAAUACAUGCAAGUCGAGCGAACGGACGAGAAGCUUGCUUCUCGGAUGUUAGCGGCGGACGGGUGAGUAACACGUGGAUAACCUACCUAUAAGACUGGGAUAACUUCGGGAAACCGGAGCUAAUACCGGAUGAUAUUUUGAACCGCAUGGUUCAAAAGUGAAAGACGGUCUUGCUGUCACUUAUAGAUGGAUCCGCGCUGCAUUAGCUAGUUGGUAAGGUAACGGCUUACCAAGGCAACGAUGCAUAGCCGACCUGAGAGGGUGAUCGGCCACACUGGAACUGAGACACGGUCCAGACUCCUACGGGAGGCAGCAGUAGGGAAUCUUCCGCAAUGGGCGAAAGCCUGACGGAGCAACGCCGCGUGAGUGAUGAAGGUCUUCGGAUCGUAAAACUCUGUUAUUAGGGAAGAACAUAUGUGUAAGUAACUGUGCACAUCUUGACGGUACCUAAUCAGAAAGCCACGGCUAACUACGUGCCAGCAGCCGCGGUAAUACGUAGGUGGCAAGCGUUAUCCGGAAUUAUUGGGCGUAAAGCGCGCGUAGCGGUUUUUUAGUCUGAUGUGAAAGCCCACGGCUCAACCGUGGAGGGUCAUUGGAAACUGGAAAACUUGAGUGCAGAAGAGGAAAGUGGAAUUCCAUGUGUAGCGGUGAAAUGCGCAGAGAUAUGGAGGAACACCAGUGGCGAAGGCGACUUUCUGGUCUGUAACUGACGCUGAUGUGCGAAAGCGUGGGGAUCAAACAGGAUUAGAUACCCUGGUAGUCCACGCCGUAAACGAUGAGUGCUAAGUGUUAGGGGGUUUCCGCCCCUUAGUGCUGCAGCUAACGCAUUAAGCACUCCGCCUGGGGAGUACGACCGCAAGGUUGAAACUCAAAGGAAUUGACGGGGACCCGCACAAGCGGUGGAGCAUGUGGUUUAAUUCGAAGCAACGCGAAGAACCUUACCAAAUCUUGACAUCCUUUGACAACUCUAGAGAUAGAGCCUUCCCCUUCGGGGGACAAAGUGACAGGUGGUGCAUGGUUGUCGUCAGCUCGUGUCGUGAGAUGUUGGGUUAAGUCCCGCAACGAGCGCAACCCUUAAGCUUAGUUGCCAUCAUUAAGUUGGGCACUCUAAGUUGACUGCCGGUGACAAACCGGAGGAAGGUGGGGAUGACGUCAAAUCAUCAUGCCCCUUAUGAUUUGGGCUACACACGUGCUACAAUGGACAAUACAAAGGGCAGCGAAACCGCGAGGUCAAGCAAAUCCCAUAAAGUUGUUCUCAGUUCGGAUUGUAGUCUGCAACUCGACUACAUGAAGCUGGAAUCGCUAGUAAUCGUAGAUCAGCAUGCUACGGUGAAUACGUUCCCGGGUCU
rnacentral:rRNA from 1 species